rnacentral:pre_miRNA from 1 species
AGAAGAAUGGCUGGAUCACAUGGUAAGGUUAUGCUCCAUGUUUUAAGAAACUGUCAAACUGUUUUCCAAGGUGGUUUCACCAUUUUGCAUUUCCAUUAGCAGU